rnacentral:rRNA from 1 species
UACGUAGGUGGCAAGCGUUACUCGGAAUCACUAGGCGUAAAGCGCAGGUAGGCGGUUCGGUAAGUCUCUUGUGAAAGCUCCCGGCUCAACUGGGAGAGGUCAAGGGAAACUACCGGGCUAGAGUGUGGCAGAGGAAGCUGGAAUUCCCGGUGUAGCGGUGAAAUGCGUAGAGAUCGGGAGGAAUACCUAUGGCGAAGGCAGCUCUCUGGGACGGUACUGACGCUGAGACGCGAAAGCGUGGGGAGCGAACAGG